AUCGCUUCUCGGCCUUUUGGCUAAGAUCAAGUGUAGUAUCUGUUCUUAUCAGAAAACAGCUGGGAAAACAACUA
rnacentral:sRNA from 1 species